rnacentral:other from 1 species
AAUACCCUGCUAUGUACGUGAUAGGCUUUUUUAAACCCACAUUAUUUAUAAGGGAUUCCGAUCUCUGCCGGCGAAUUGCAGGCCUCCCGGAGGAAACAGCAUGUUUCCUUUGGAUGUUGGAAGCGGAGCAGCCGCUAGGAGGAAACCCACCUGCCGAGUUGUGCAGGUUAUAAAUGGGCUUACACGGCACGGCGGGGUCAUU